rnacentral:rRNA from 1 species
AGUGAACGCUGGCGGCAGGCCUAACACAUGCAAGUCGAGCGACAGCACAGUAAGCGCUCGCCUCUAACGGUAGCGAGUGACGGACGGGUGACGCGUACAUAACCAUCUUAUUAUUCGUGGGGGAUAUCGUAAGACCACUUCUGCUAAUACCGAAUACGAUCUACCGGUGAGAUCAGUGGAUAUUCGGACCUUGCCCGAUACAAUGAGACGAUGUCGGAUUAGCUAGUUGGCGGGGUAAAGGCCCACCAAGGCAACGAUACGUAGCUGAUCUGAGAGGAUGAUCGGCCACACUGGAACUGAGACACGGUCCAGACUCCUACGGGAGGCAGCAGUGGGGAAUAUUGGACAAUGGGCGAAAGCCUGAUCGAGCCAUACCGCGUGAGUGAAGAAGGCCUUCGGAUUGUAAAGCUCUGUUGUUGGGGAAGAAAAGAAGCAGGUUAAUAUCCCGCCGUUCUGACGGUACCCAAAGAGUAAGCACCGGCUAACUUCGUG